CUGACGGAUAAUCGAUGAGAAAUCCUGUUGUUUAAACGUGCACUCAUUUGAUAGCCUUCAUAAACGGUUAAAACGAUCAGUUUAAGUUCUCGAUUGACAAAGAAGAUGCCUUCUAUACCAUACCUUGCGAUCCUCCUGUUGACAUUCCAGAACGCAUGCGUAGACAGUCAGAACGCUGGUGGAAGAGAGUUUGUCAUCAUGUACAUGCAGAACUUUGUCGCUGAAGGUUCUCCAGUUUUUCCACUGGAACUUUUUCUGACG